rnacentral:rRNA from 1 species
GACGAACGCUGGCGGCGUGCUUAACACAUGCAAGUCGAACGAUGAACCCGGAGCUUGCUCUGGGGGAUUAGUGGCGAACGGGUGAGUAACACGUGAGUAACCUGCCCUGGACUCUGGGAUAAGCGUUGGAAACGACGUCUAAUACCGGAUAGGACCUUGGAUCGCAUGAUCUGGGGUGGAAAGUUUUUUCGGUCUGGGAUGGACUCGCGGCCUAUCAGCUUGUUGGUGAGGUAAUGGCUCACCAAGGCGUCGACGGGUAGCCGGCCUGAGAGGGUGACCGGCCACACUGGGACUGAGAUACGGCCCAGACUCCUACGGGAGGCAGCAGUGGGGAAUAUUGCACAAUGGGCGAAAGCCUGAUGCAGCAACGCCGCGUGCGGGAUGACGGCCUUCGGGUUGUAAACCGCUUUUAGUAGGGAAGAAGGGCUUCGGCUUGACGGUACCUGCAGAAAAAGGACCGGCUAACUACGUG